rnacentral:piRNA from 1 species
UGUGACUUGUUACCUGUUGAACUGGGGUGU